rnacentral:misc_RNA from 1 species
AGGCUCCCCACAUAUAUCCAAGUAAUCGCACCCAGACUGAGCACAAGCAGCAACAACGGGCUCACCAUAGAGGCGAAAAGGGCCAACGCAAUUGAGAAUGAGCUUGGUUUGGGUGCAGAGAUGACGGAUUGAAGAAGGGUCGGUAGUGUCGGCUUUGAGGAUAGGGAUCGGAGGAGAAGUGCUGGGGUGGGAAGCCCAAUUGAGGGCUUGGGUUAGUUUAGUGGGGUUGCGACCUGCUAGAGCAAGGGAUUUAAGGGGACAAGAAGGGAUGUUGAGGAACUUGAGGGCUUCUCUGACAACAUAUUUACCUGUAAAGCCUGAGGCUCCCAGGAUUACUAGGUCAUAAGGAGGAGAUGGAGAUUGGCUUUGAUGAUCCAUGAAAUUGGUUAAACACAGAGUGUGGAAGGCUGAGAAAUUUAUUAGGGUUUGGAGGUGAAGGGUAGAGAGUGUUUAGCUGUGGGUCUACAAAUGUGUGCCUG